AUUGAACGCUGGCGGCAGGCCUAACACAUGCAAGUCGAGCGGAUGAAGGGAGCUUGCUCCUGGAUUCAGCGGCGGACGGGUGAGUAAUGCCUAGGAAUCUGCCUGGUAGUGGGGGAUAACGUCCGGAAACGGGCGCUAAUACCGCAUACGUCCUGAGGGAGAAAGAGGGGGAUCUUCGGACCUCACGCUAUCAGAUGAGCCUAGGUCGGAUUAGCUAGUUGGUGGGGUAAAGGCCUACCAAGGCGACGAUCCGUAACUGGUCUGAGAGGAUGAUCAGUCACACUGGAACUGAGACACGGUCCAGACUCCUACGGGAGGCAGCAGUGGGGAAUAUUGGACAAUGGGCGGAAGCCUGAUCCAGCCAGGCCGCGUGUGUGAAGAAGGUCUUCGGAUUGUAAAGCACUUUAAGUUGGGAGGAAGGGCAGUAAGUUAAUACGUUGCUGUUUUGACGGUACCAACAGAAGAAGCACCGGCUAACUUCGUG
rnacentral:rRNA from 1 species